rnacentral:rRNA from 1 species
AACAGGAUUAGAUACCCUGGUAGUCCACGCCGUAAACGAUGCUAACUCGUUUUUGGGUUUUCGGAUUCAGAGACUAAGCGAAAGUGAUAAGUUAGCCACCUGGGGAGUACGUUCGCAAGAAUGAAACUCAAAGGAAUUGACGGGGGCCCGCACAAGCGGUGGAUUAUGUGGUUUAAUUCGAUGAUACGCGAGGAACCUUACCAAGGCUUAAAUGGGAAUUGACAGGUUUAGAAAUAGACUUUUCUUCGGACAAUUUUCAAGGUGCUGCAUGGUUGUCGUCAGCUCGUGCCGUGAGGUGUUAGGUUAAGUCCUGCAACGAGCGCAACCCCUGUCACUAGUUGCCAUCAUUCAGUUGGGGACUCUAGUGAGACUGCCUACGCAAGUAGAGAGGAAGGUGGGGAUGACGUCAAAUCAUCACGGCCCUUACGCCUUGGGCCACACACGUAAUACAAUGGCCGGUACAGAGGGCAGCUACACAGCGAUGUGAUGCGAAUCUCGAAAGCCGGUCUCAGUUCGGAUUGGAGUCUGCAACUCGACUCUAUGAAGCUGGAAUCGCUAGUAAUCGCGCAUCAGCCAUGGCGCGGUGAAUACGUUCCCGGGCCUUGUACACACCGCCCGUCAAGCCAUGGAAGUCUGGGGUACCUGAAGUCGGUGACCGUAACAGGAGCUGCCUAGGGUAAAACAGGUAACUAGGGCUAAGUCGUAACAAGGUAACC